GGCUUGUUGAUUAUAAUUUCAAGUUUGGCCUGCCCAAUGAUGUUUAUUUAAUGGCCGCAGUAUAUUGACUGUGCAAAGGUAGCAUAAUCAUUAGUUUUUUAAUUGAAAGCUUGUAUGAAAGGUUUAAUGAGAAAAUUUCUGUCUCUAGAGAAAUUUAUUAGAAUUUUAUUUUUAAGUGAAAAAGCUUAAAUUUUUGUAGAAGACGAGAAGACCCUAUAGAGUUUUAUAUUUGUAUUUAUGAAAGAAUUUAGUUUAAAUAUAAGUAUUUAGUUGGGGUGAUGGAAAAAUUAAUUUAACUUUUUCUUUUUUUUUACAUUGAUUUAUGGGUUUUUGAUCCUAAAAUUUAGAUUAGAAGAAUAAAUUACCUUAGGGAUAACAGCGUAAUUUUUUUUAGAGUUCUUAUCGAAAAGAAAGAUUGCGACCUCGAUGUUGGAUUAAAAUUAAUUGUUGGUGAAGAAGUUAAUAAAUUAGGUCUGUUCGACCUUUAAAAUUUUACAUGAUCUGAGUUUAAACCGGUGUGAG
rnacentral:rRNA from 1 species